UACGUAGGGUGCGAGCGUUGUCCGGAAUCAUUGGGCGUAAAGCGCACGUAGGCGGCCUCAUAAGUCGGACGUGAAAUCCCUCGGCUCAACCGAGGAAGUGCAUCCGAAACUGCGAGGCUCGAGUAUGGAAGAGGGUCGCAGAAUUCCCGGUGUAGAGGUGAAAUUCGUAGAUAUCGGGAGGAAUACCAGUGGCGAAGGCGGCGACCUGGGCCAAUACUGACGCUGAGGUGCGAAAGCGUGGGGAGCAAACAGG
rnacentral:rRNA from 1 species